rnacentral:rRNA from 1 species
ACUCAAAGGAAUAGACGGGGGCCCGCACAAGCGGUGGAGCAUGUUGUUUAAUACGUCACUAACCGUAGAACCUUACCAGGGCUUGACAUCCGCUGACGGUCUAUGAAAGUAGGCGUUCCGUACCCGCGAGGGUCGGACAGCGAGACAGGUGUUGCAUGGCUGUCGUCAGCUCGUGUCGUGAGAUGUUGGGUUAAGUCCCGCAACGAGCGCAACCCUCACCCCAUGUUGCCAACGGGUAAAGCCGGGAACUCUUGGGGAACUGCCCGGGUAACCGGGAGGAAGGUGGGGAUGACGUCAAGUCAGCAUGGCCCUUACGCCCUGGGCUACAAACAUGCUACAAUGGACGGUAGACAAAGGGAACCGAAGUCGCGAGGCGGAGGCAAUCCCAGAAAUCCGUUCUCAGUUCGGAUCGCAGGCUGCAACUCGCCUGCGUGAAGUCGGAAUCGCUAGUAACCGCAGAUCAGCUAAGCUGCGGUGAAUACGUUCCCGGGCCUUGUACACACCGCCCGU